ACUGAGGAUUGACAGACAUACCUUUGCCACUACAAUAAAAAGCAACCUCUAAGCCAUAUGCGCAAGCGGUCACUUCAAAAAGCAGCAGCACUUAAGGAAAGACGCUAGAUCUUUCAUGAUUAUGUGAUAAGUGGUGCAUGGCCGUUCUUAGUUCGUGGAGUGAUCUGUCUGCUUAAUUGCGUUUCGCAAUAUAUAAAUCUGCGCAGUGCCCUUUUUCGCUGGGUGCGGCGUAAGAUCUCGAAAGCAACGAACGAGAUCGCAACCUUUAGUUGACCUAUGUAGCGGGUCAUAAGAAACUAAACUAAAGGGACUGCUGCCAUAUGUGCUUAAACCAGAGGAAGGUUGCGGCAAUAACAGGUCUGUGAUGCCCUUAGAUGUUCCGGGCUGCACACGUGCUACAAUGAUCAUUUCAUUAAGCAUAAAGCGUAGGCAACGGUAACUUCUAUUACCCCAGCUAUACACA
rnacentral:rRNA from 1 species